rnacentral:rRNA from 1 species
AAUAGAUACCCAGGUAGUCCAUGCCGUAAACGUUGGGCACUAGGUGUGGGACCCCCUCAACGGGUUCCGUGCCGUAGCUAACGCAUUAAGUGCCCCGCCUGGGGAGUACGGCCGCAAGGCUAAAACUCAAAGGAAUUGACGGGGGCCCGCACAAGCAGCGGAGCAUGUUGCUUAAUUCGAGGCAACGCGAAGAACCUUACCUGGGUUUGACAUGUACGGAAAAGCCACAGAGAUGUGGUGUCCUUUUGGGCCGUACACAGGUGGUGCAUGGUUGUCGUCAGCUCGUGUCGUGAGAUGUUGGGUUAAGUCCCGCAACGAGCGCAACCCUUGUCCUAUGUUGCCAGCGGGUAAUGCCGGGGACUCGUAGGAGACUGCCGGGGACAACUCGGAGGAAGGUGGGGAUGACGUCAAAUCAUCAUGCCCCUUAUGUCCAGGGCUGCAAACAUGCUACAAUGGCCAGUACAAAGGGCUGCUAUACCGCGAGGUUGAGCGAAUCCCACAAAGCUGGUCUCAGUUCGGAUUGGAGU